rnacentral:rRNA from 51 species
CGACCCCAGGUCAGGCGGGGUUACCCGCUGAAUUU